AUUGGUAACAUGCACCCAUCACACUUUAGAUCAUCAUCAACCUUGUCAGUAAGGAUUAGGUUAUGUUGAUGACUGAAAUGCUCGAUCUCUUCAAUUAUUCUCUCCUCUCCAUGCUUGAUCUCACGGACAACGCGAAAGCUAGGUUCCAUGAAUUGAUCAUCAACAGUCACACUUUGCUCUUCUUGCAGUCUCUGUUGCAUAAUCGCCAUAUUCUCUGCUACAAUUCACGUGUGCAACAAAGUCACAGUCUGGGCAAUAGUAAACUCCGUAUUCUGUGUCAACUUCCCGACGGCAAAUUCCACAGUACUUGUUUAUAGAUUCGAUGCAUUGUUGAGGAUGAUAGGUGUGGAUGAUUCGGGGAUGAUGGUGCAGUGCCGUUUUAAGGGUGCCUGGCAAUGAAAUGCAUUCUUCGUGGACCAAGAGUUGGCACAUGGUGCACACUAAUGGAGAGUCAUCUCCAUCAGUGCCGCAUGCAUUGCAAGUGAAGGAGAUUGAUUUUAGUGAAGGUGAAUUCAGUAGGCGUCUAAAUUGAUGCCCCUGAUCCUGAUCAGCUGCAUAAACGCACGGUGGAAAAGCACAUUUGAUAUGGAGGUUGAAUUCGCACACAAAACAGCAGUAAACAAAACUCUCAUAGCAAGUUUCGUUGCAAAAAUCCACAGAUCAUGAUGAUUUGGCAGUAGACGAAGAGGGUGUUCUGGAUGAAUGUGCCUCUUGAUCUCUGGGGGUAGCUCAGCACACUUCUUGUGAAGAAAGAGUUGCAAGAAGUGCAACUAUAGCUAGGACCAGACAUUGGUUCCUUGCACACAAGCACACAACUCCUUCACCAUGAUAUUCUUGCUCUUCAUUCAAAAUCAAUGGAUGAUCCUUGUGGGCAAAUUGAUGUGCCUGACUAUCAACUUCCAAAAAACCCGGUUGAAAAGCACAUUUGAUAUCAAGAUCAAACUUACAGAAAGAACAAUGGUAAACAAAACAGUUGAAAGUUUUGCGCACCGAUCACAACGGUAUUUCCUUUAUAUGGUGACUUUGCAGUAGAUGGAGAGGGUGUCUACGAUGAAUGCGCCGCUUGAUCUCACGGGGCAGCUCGGCGCAUUUCUUAUGAAGAAAGAAGUAGCAAGAGGUGCAACUGUAGCAAGGACCCCAUAUUGGUCCCUCGCAUCCAGAGCAAAUAACUAGUUCACAACUAUAUUCGAGAACUUGAUUAAUGAGGAUCAAUGGAUGAUCUGGGUGGCUAAAAUGUUCAACCUCCAUGUCUCUGGCUCUCUCAGAGGACAGAGCAGGAAAUGAGGGGUGUUGAGCCAAGGCAAGACUUAGGGAUGCCAAAUUGAAGCUGCCGAAUAUAUAUAUGUUAUCGAAAUGGAAAGGCAAAUAAAAGUUGAGUGCUACUAGAAUUCAAUACCUCACCAUCUGAACUGAAACUUGACCUCUUCACCGACGACGGCUAAUUAAAUAAUUACAGCUGCUUACUGCUAAAUUACAGAUCAACCAACGAGAUCCAGAACACAGUGAUUUCCCAUUAAGAUCGGAUACCAAUCAAUUGCUGGGGAAGCAUUUUCUUCCUUCUUCCCAUUUAUCAAAGAUAGCCGAAACGAAAAAUAAUUCAAAGGACUGAAAAUUCAAAGAGGCCCAAAAAGAAAGGAAGGGUGUUAGCUGUAAGGAAGAGGUGGGAAGAAGAUCAUGAAGAAAGCUACAAGCUCCUCUAUUCGUAAGGAUGAGAUUGUUCAAGCAUGUGAAUAAGAAGACAGUUUCCCAUGUCUUUUCUGGUUGGAUAAGAAGACUCGUUGACUUGAGUUGGGUCUCCUCAACUUCUUAUAUUACUCAUUUGCCCAUGGAUAGCGGUUUAAAAUUGCUUUCUAAACGGUAUUUUUAAUAAAAAUAUAUAUUUAAAAUUAAGUUUUUUAUAUUUUUAAAUAUGUUGAUAUUAAAAAUAUUUUUUAAAAAAUAAAAAUAUUUAUUUUAAUACUUUUUUCAAAUAAAACAAAUAUUUUAAAAAAUAACUACUAACACCCUCCUAAUCUUUUUCCAAGUAGAGGUAAUUAAACUUAAAAAUCUAAUGAUAAAAUCCUUUAAUUAUUAAAAUCAUAAAUCAAUAAUUACAUGUAUAUAUAAUUAACAUAUUUUAGCUAAAUCUCAAAUAGGUCUUUUUUUCUAUCAUAACGAACUAUAUAAAUUAAUAAAUUUAUAAAUGUUAAACUAUACUUUAUAGUUUAAUUUUUAUAAUAAACGAUUUUACUCUUAAUAACCUAGAAAUGUGAAACAAAUACAUAAUUAACUAAAAUUAUGAUAUUUCAUUUAAAUUAACUAAAAUAUUUUAAGCAAAUUGCACAUAACGUAGAAGUUUAAUGUUAUAUAUUCUGCCUUUUAUUGAAUAACUUAACUAAAAAUUAAAGAUAUAAUUAAUUGAUAUAAUUACACUUAUAAAAGACUUAUUAGAAAUAAUCUUUACGAUAUAAGGAAAUAUGAGGUACUUAUCAUGAGUAAGUGAUAUUUUUUAUAUCAAAAUAAAUUUGUGAAGGUCGUGUGACUUCUUUGUUAAUUUGAAUGGAAAAAAUAAAGAGAACAUGUUAGAAAAAAUCAUUUAUCUUGGAAUUAAAUUAUAUAAUUAGAGAUAUAAAGAGAAAUUAAAAACACAUUCUCUUAUACAAGGAUUCAUUAAUUAAACCAUUUCUCCUUAAAAAACCUCCACCUCAAAGUCUCCAUUGUCAUUCCUAUUUGGUUUUCUAGAUUUUACAAUGAAGAGAGGGAUGGGGAAAGGAAGAAGAUCAUGUGUGUGUUUCCUUCCCAAAUUAAUUACAGAUUUUUAGAAUCUAUGUCGUUUUAUGUAAACAAAUGUCUUUAUUAUAUUAUAACAAGGAAAUGCCUGUAAAUCUUGUCCGUUAUCUAGGUAGAUUUGAAGGAAGAGAAAUAUUUUAGUUUUUAGGGAGGAGUAUUUAGGGGAUAAGCGGUUGUUACGUCAAAUUUACUUUUUAAAAGAUGUGUUUUGCGAUACUUGGAAUAAUUCAACUAUGAUGCGUAGAUAUCCAACUACUAUCUUAUGACUUAAGCCUGAAGAAGGAUUUAUUAAACUAGACGUGGAUGAAAGCUCUCUUAGGAACCCGGGGAGGAUUGGAUUUGGGGUCUCUUAAGAAAUUCUGAAGGGAGAUGGUUGAUGAGUUUUACGAGUUAUUGAGAUUUUGAUUCUAAUCUACUUCCAAAACUACUAGGAAUUAAAUAUUAUUUAUUGGUGAUAUGAGAUAGAGGUUUUAGAAAGGUCAUAUGGAACUCUGAUUUUACAGAUGUUAUUCAACUGAUUUAUAAUAAUUUUAACAAGUAUUAUUUAUUUAGAGCUGUUAUUUUUUAUAUUAAAGAAUUCAUGAUACGAAAUUGGAAAGUUCGUUUGUUUCAUACUUUGGGCGAGGCUCAUUCAUGUGCUUAUUAUAGGGCUAAACUUGCAGCUACAAUUAAAUUCAGAUUAACUAGAUAUAAUUUAUACAUAUACAUAAAAAUAACAACUUAACUAUCUUUUUUUUUUUCUUGCGCCUAAUUUAACUAGCAUUACAAGCUAUGAGAAGGCCAACUUUACCAAACAUUUGAAUCUUAAAGAAACUUGAGCCAUGUCUUGAUAAGUACGCAGCUCAUUUUAUUAUCAAUUUUGGCUUGGAAGCUGCUUGACCAAUAUUUUUGAGCUUGUUUACGUGCUGACUCAGAAUUUCUGACCUAAUUGCGUGCCGAAUAAUAUCAGUCCCUCACAUCCUGAGCAAAUAAUUAGUUCACAACUAUAUUCGAGAACUUGAUUAAUGAGGAUCAAUGGAUGAUCUGGGUGGCUAAAAUGUUCAACCUCCAUGUCUCUGGCCCUCUCAGAAUGCAGAGCAGGAAAUGAGGGGUGUUCAGCCAAGGCAAGACUUAGUGAUUAAACUUAAAAAGAAAAAAAAUGACAAAACAAUGAUUAAACACGUGGAUUCAGGAGGCCUAGCACGCCUAUCAUCACAUUCUAACAUGUUUGUGUUUCAUUUCUUCUUAUUAUUAUUAUUUGAAUGGGAGGACUUCUUAAAGUAACCAUAUGAUACGUCUUUUGUAGUGGCAGAAAAUACGACACCUAUUUAUUUCACCGCCGAGAAACUCUAGAGGCUAGAAGUUGCUGGAAAAUCGCUCCCCUCUCUUCGAAAACACCAUUUCAAGCAUUUCUUUCAUUUAUAAGCCACUUAGAAAGUACAACGUAAACAUAACCUCUAAACAAUGUUAAAUCCAUUAAAAAACUCAAAAUUUGUUCUAGUUAAAAAAAAUCCCCAAAGGAUCUACUUUUCCUGGUAAGAUGAGCAGCAAAACAUACAUCAAUGGAAUUUUUAUCUUGAAAUGGAACCCAUUAACAUCAAGAACAACUUUUUUCAAUUGCUAGAACUUGGUUAAUAAUAACUUUUUCUCUCAUUCGUUGUAAUCUAAUAACUUUCACUCUCUUUUCUUAAACUUAAGGAUUAAAAUGUAAAUAAAAUAAAGUCUUGGAUCAAAUAGUAUAAUUUUCAAGCUAAAGGGAUCAAAACUAAUAUUGGAUCAAAUUUAAAGUCUAAAAGUCUUUGACAACCAUUCUUUCUUAAAAUUGAUAUCAUUUCACCAAGCUUUUAAUUUUGAUAGCCUAGAUUUUUGUUUUUCUCUAACAACAAAAUUGAUUUUUUUUUUUUUGUAAAAUAAAGAACCAACCCAACAUGGUGGUAGUUUUUUGAGGUUGUAAUAAACUGGAAGAAAGCAAUAGGAACUAAAUAACUAAGUUAAAUCACCAAUCAAUGCAAUGUAGAAGGAUAAAUUUUAAAAAAAACAAAUCUCGAUUGCCGAACUAAAAAAAGAAAAAAGAAAUCAAGGACUAAGAAGUGAAGAUAUCAUCUUCAGGACUAUCAUUUCACCUAACUUUCAACUUUGAUCCUCUUAUUUUCAAAUACUAUUUUUGUCAAUAAAUACUACCUUGAUAUUGAAAUGUUGUCUUAUUUUUUUAUUUUGUUUUCUACCUUAUUUCUUUUUAGAAAAUAAUUAGGCUCAUGUUAUAAAUGGAUUAGAUUCCUUUUCUAUAUAGAUUAAAUUGAUUAAGGUUCGAUCAUUAUUUGUUGAUGUUGCCUCAUUGAAAUCCAUCUUGACUAAAAUAUUCCAAACAUGUCCAUUAAAUAUAUUUUUGAGCUUCUUUUCUUUUGAUCUUGUAAUUGACCCAACUAGAACUUUUAAUAGAUAAUUUAGUGUAGUUUAAAUUGUAUUAUAUUUAACCUCGCAACAUGAACCAUAUAUCAAAUAUGUUUAAUAGCUUUGUUUAUUAAAAUUAAUAUUUUAUUUAAUAAAAUAAUAAUAAAAAAGAUGUAUAGAAAAGCAAUCAAAUAAAAUUAAAGAAAAAAUAUAUAACUAGGACUACAUACAUAUAAAGGAUGCCUUCUAAUAUAAAAAAAUAUUAAAAUUUUAUUUGUAAAUUAAGUAAAAGUUAAAAUAUUCUAUUAAAUAAACAUCAUAAAAUAUUUAAAAAAACAACCAAUAAAAAUCCAAAAUUUUAAAAAAAUACUCAGACCCUAACAUGGGUGUCCCAACACAUCUAAACUUACAAAAAUUCCAUUUGCGUGGGCUUUUAUCCCAGAUCCGCGCUCGUUGGCUAACUUAUUAUUAUUAUUUUUUUGUUUUUCUGGAAUGAGUGUAUGUAUCAACUUUCCGAGAUAUCUCCUGUCUGAUUGUUAGGGUUUAGGAAGUAAGUUUUUCCAGGCAUCAUUGUUUGGUUUAGUCAUGUGAAACGUUGGUGCUAUUAGUUAAAUGCGUCAGCAUGUAUUUGGACUACAGAAAUGAAAGUUCAGGUGAAUAAGUUCAAGCUAUCUCGUUUCACAUCAAAGCUUAAAGCAUCAUAAUCUAAUAUCUACUUGCUGGAGAUUGAAUGGCAAUGUUCUUUUCAAAAGCAACAUUGCGAAGGAACAAAGAAGGGGAAUUAUCAGUAUAUAUACCAGUAAUGUCAGAUAGGACUUCUGGUGAAAGUGGGGGAAUUUAGAUUUGAAUAAUGAUUUAUACAUUCAAGUUCUUGAAUUGCAACGGAUUCAUUCAAGAUCUGCUGGAAGGAUUUGAGAGGAAACGGCGAAGCGGAGCUGCCAUGCUCGACCGUUAGAUUUGUACAUGUCAACAUCUUGCUGCAAACCUUCCAUAGCAUCCUCUUGGUCCUAACAAUUGUUUUGUUCCUGAAAUAACUUGUGAUUCAGGUAUACCUGCUACAGAAACAUUUUCUACAGUAAUUCAAGGCCAUAGCCGGAGCUGGCCUUCUGCUUGUUCUGAUCAAAUUUACAGAUUCAAAGUUCAUUGUGUGGUUUAUCAAAAUAUGGUUGUAAGAAGCAGCGCUUAAGUUGAACAUAAGGUUAUGGAGAUGGAGUUUGUGAAAUGUUAUGGCUGAUGAGAGUUUUUGAAGAACUAUGAAGUUGUAUUAUGACAAUAAAGCUGCCACAAGAACUCUUAAUACCGAGAAGGCUGGGAAUGUUGCAAGCACGUACAAAAGGUUAGAGAUUUUUAAUUUGAUACUUGCAAAAUUGAAGUAACAACAAUUUAAAUUCGAGACCAGAUUGAUAUAUGAUAUUUUUUAAAAAAUAAGCAAUCUUGUAAAGGGCAUAAUUUUUUUUUUUUUAUCUUAAUUCAACUCAAAUUUUAUUAGAAGAUUUUAAAUGCUUUAUUUUCUAUAAAAUUAGAAUUUUAUAAUCAUUUAAAAUCAACAAGACUUUCAAAUAAAACAAAAAAAACCUAUCUAGACUUGUAAUAUUUUAUUAGUUGAUUUAAUUUUUUUUUUUCUAUUUAGUUUUUUUUUUUUUUUUAAGGAUUUGGGCCUCUAAAUCCCUUCGUGGUUUUGAAAUUAGAUAAACAAUGAUGGAGGCUUAUUCUUAUUCUUCUUAAGAAAAAAAAUACCAAAAACAUGAAUUAACUUACUUCUGCAUGAUAUAUCUUAUUAAAGGACAAAGCUAUCAAAUGACCUUGAGGUCUUUGUUUUAAAUAUUAUUUAAAUAGAUUUAUUUAUUAUUAGAUUGUGUUAAGGAAAUAAAAAUUAAAUAUUCGAAUGAAAAUAAUUGAUAUAAGUUAGAUAAGUGUUAUUUUAUAUGCCAAUAUUUCUAUGCAUUUACAAUAAAAUCUAUAACAAAAAUGUAAAAACAGAAUUUAUGGAGAGCUUCCUGCUAAGCUAAAAAAAAUGGUGGAAGGUCAGACAUCUUUGUCACGACGAAGGCACAAAGAAACAACAAACUACCUUCAAUCUUUUAUUGUUAAAAAAAAAAACAGAGAAAAAAAAAGUGAUCUCAUACGCAUAAAUAGAAACAGAGAUAGUAAUCCUUUGUCUAGCAACUGCCAACAAUCAUAACCCAAAAAUAAGAAAAAAGCCAACAACUGCAAUCCAAUUAUGGCUUCCAUACUGUACGAAAGCAUUGCCGUCUAAACCGGUGUACGAUAAAAUCACAGUUAGGAUCAGUACAUUCAAGGGCCAAGUCAUCGCAAGGCUCCCCACAGAUAUCGCAUGCCUGCGGACGAUAAUCCCCUGUCUUGUCGACCAAAGCAAGAGGGUGAGGGUGUGCAGGAUAUGUGCGAACGCCCCCUGGCUUGACGUAUGGGUAUUUCCCGAGAGCACAUUCUGGAUGAGCAUCGAAGUCGCAUUCCUCACAACGGUAGAACCAGAGCUUCGGGUCUCUAUCUUUUUCACAAAUUAUGCAGGAAGGCUGGUAGUCAUUUUCAUUAUUGUAGGUGAGGAAGAGAGGAUGGUCAUCAUACUCGUGUCUUGCUUUGUAUGGCAGUGUAGCACAUUUCAUACCCAGCUUGAACUCGCAAACCGCACAUUUUAAAAAUACCUUCGAUUCUUCACUGACACAACAGCCACUGCAAUGGGGAAUAAUCUCUCUGUCAUCUACAAGCAAAGGGGGAAGCCCGUAACCUCCAAUACGGCAACGGAGAAUACUCUUUCUGUCCACUGGAAGAUAAAGGGGAUGCUCAUGACCUCCAUGUUUAAAAGAAUCUUUCAAUGAUUUGAAGCAUCGGACAUCAAUCCAGAGUCUACAUACUUUACAUUUGUAACUGAGCCCACGAAAAUAUUGACUACACACAUCACAGGAGACCAGAUCAUGUGGCCCUCGGCUCCAUGAAAGAAUCAGUUCGUUUUGGUGAUAUUGCCACUUUUUUUGCCUGAGUAAUUCUAUGCUGCAGGUUUUGUCAAGAAAGAAGUUACAACUGGCACAACUGUAAAAUGGAGUUGAGAUUGGUAACAUACACCCAUCACACUUUAAAUCAUCAUCAACCUUGUCAUUAAGGAUUAGGUUAUGUUGAUGACUGAAAUGCUCGAUCUCUUCAAUUAUUCUCUCCUCUCCAUGCUUGAUCUCACGGACAACGCUAAAGCUAGGUUCCAUGAAUUGAUCAUCAACAGCCACACUUUGCUCUUCUUCGUUUUCUCCAGCAGUCUCUGUUGCAGAAUCGCCAUAUUCUCUGCUACAAUUCACGUGUGCAACGAAGUCACAGUCUGGGCAAUAGUAAACUCCGUA
rnacentral:lncRNA from 1 species